AGAUGGAGGUCAAGCAGAAGGGGCAGAGGAUGAACUGGAAAUCCGGUUUCAGAGUAGAAGAUUUUGGAGACCAAGUCCCACUCCCAUUGAACAGAUGGGUCACUGAGGCCAGGAGGGAAGCUGCCCCCCACCAGCCAGCACUGUGUCACCACUCACUUGCCUGCACCACAGCGCCAGGUGUUAGGCCAGGCCAGCAGUUUCCCAGACCGGUGCUCCUGUUUCCUAAGAUGUCUGCCAGGCAUCAAAGAAAGGUCUAUGCAUAUGAGAGAAAAAAUACCUAGGGAAGGAGAAAAAGGAGAAGAAACAGACAAGAGAGAAAGGAGAAAGAGCUGGGAGCAGGGAAGGAAUAGAAGGCCAGCAGGCCAGUGCUGAGAAUGCUGGGCAGACCCCCUGCCAGGGCCUGAAAUGCUGCCACUGGUGACUCAACCUUUUGUCUUCAAAACUGCAAGGGAGAAAAAAAAUCUCAUACUAGGGGGCACCACAGCUUUUAUCAGCAAUCCCAUUAGAGGCUAAGACUGAGAGGCAUGAGACUGCAAGUUCAACGCCCCCUUUGAUGUUGGAAUCAAGCUGUCAGGGGUUCAGUACCAGCAGCACAGCCAGGCCCUGGGGAAGUUUCUUCAGGACAUCCUCUGGGAAGAGGCCAAAGAGGCCCCAGCUGACAAGUGAUCGCCCACAAGCCUUACUCACCUCUCUCUAAGUUUAGAAGCGCUCAUCUGGCUUUUCGCUUG
rnacentral:sRNA from 1 species